CAACCGCCACAAACGAAACAUCGUACUAAGUCGGUUAUGUUUUCCUCCUAGGAUUCUGUCGCCGCCACGCAAAAAGUUGUUAUCUUAGUCGGUUACCAUCUUAUAUAUAGGCUUCAAUAUUCCCUUAACUACAGCACCAACUUUUGAGAUUCUACAGACUACAAUCUCAGCUGUCGCGUUGGCCGCUGAUAAGAUGGUCUCUCCUGCCUUCUUUGCCUCUGGAAAGGUUUUGGCUCAAAAAGAUGGAAUGCAGACAAAUUAAAAUUCUUGGCGUGGUUUGCUGGAUUUAAUUCCAUAUUGUAAGCUGUCAAUCAAGGUUAUGUAUUCAGAAGCGUGGAGAACAUCCGUAGGAAUUUGCUAAUUGCUAUUGUACGAAGAUGUAAUAGGUAUAAUGGGGACAUAAAAGGCCUAAUUUCAGGGGGCCAAGUCCCGUUUAAAUUACUGAUCUGUUAUAACUCUGGCCUUUGCCAUGUCGGGUGCGCUCUCAUGGCAGGUCGCUCACUUAAUAAAGAUUUGUUUUUGCGGGUUUUGGGGGUGGAGAUAGCACGGGAACUUUUUGGCCCGGGAUUUCUACCCUCCUAUGGUGUGUGUGUGUUUUCUCGCUUCUCUAAUUCUUCUGUGCUCCUUACACUUUGCAUAGAUGCUUAAAUCAAUCGUCAGACCUAAUUGCAAAUUCUCAACGAGCUAUUCUUAGUUGGCUUCCCACGUCAGGUACACAACACGUUUCUGCUUGAACUUGCAAUUGAUUAUAAUGCAUAUUUGUAAGACAAUAAGAGUUAAUAUUUUGACGCAUCCAUACUAGAAUUAUUCCAAGAUCAGUUGUCAAUUGAAGCAACCCAAACACAAGACGUUUCUGCUUGAACUGCCAAUUGAUUAUAAUGCGUAGGUGUACGACCAAUUUAUAAGAGCCUAGUAAUAUUUUUAUGCUUAGCACAAUUAUUCUAAAUUCGUUGUCAAUGGAAGCGACCUAAUUCGGGUUUAAUAUAUGUUGCAAGUUUGUGCAGUUAGCGCUGUAGAGGAUGACGAAUGCGAUCUCCUAUCUCCCAAAGUGUCGAACAUGCAUUUCAUCACAGUUGUAAUCCCAAAACUAAUAAACCAAUUAUCCUGUGAAAUUUCUUGCUAUGGUAUCCAUGCGAACUUCAUCUAUCUAAUAGGCGAAGCAACUUCUAAGUUGGUUGUUGUACAUUGGCAGCUGGACCUCAGGUAUGCAUUAUAGGCGUGUAAUUUUGGUUUAAAAUAUUCACAACUAAACAUUGGGGAAUGUUUUCAACUUGAUUCUUCUAGAAUUUGAUAAGUUACGGCUAACAUAUAUACAGAUGUUAUCUACAGACAUGAAUUUUAAUUGCAGCAGAAUGAAGAGCUGAUUAUCUGCUGAUAGAGUAUCCAAACUGGUAUUGAUUUAAGUUUCCUUCUGCAUUAGAGGUGUCCUUGCUCUUGUUUAUCAUUCACGAUCAUAUUAUUAUAAGCUCUAAUGAAUUUGCAAUGAAUCUUCGGGAACAAAAGAAAAAUAAUUGCGAUGAAUCUUUCGCGAACAAAAGAAAAAUAAUUGCGAUGAAUCUCGGAGAAUUUUAAAUACUAGUUGGAGAUCUGCAAUGUUAGAGCUUUCUGCACCCGAAAACUUGAGGGUUCACCUGAGUCGCUUUGUAAAUCUGGUAUUGGUGGCCAUCAUUCUGAUUUGUCGUUGUCGGUAGAAAUUUUUAAUUUUGCAGUAGUAUGAUAUUGUCUGUUAAACUUGAAAUGCAAUUGGUAUCACGUUCGUGGAGAACUGGUAUUGGUGGCUGUUGUUCCAAUUUAUCUUUUGCCAAUACAGCGGAUAUGCGUGAUAGUUUGAUAUUUGAAGGCUGGUGAUAGCGAUCAAGUUGUUUAACUCCAAAUAAAUGAGAACAGUGAAAGUACAAGAUGGGAGGUUUCUUUUUCCGUGUAACGAGGGUGCAGAUGUUCUCAUAUACAGCAGCUGGGGCUAACGUCGUUCAAGCUUUUCUUCGGCUUGUAGCUGGUAAAACAAACUAUUCAUGUGAUCGAGAUUUGGUAAUGGACUUAACGUUUGGCUGCAAAAGAUACUUGUACUUCUUUCAGGUAUUGCUUUUCGGUUGUGAUUCUGUCCCUUUUUUUUUUCAUUUUUUCUUGGUUAAGUUGUCUCAUCCAGUUUUUGGAGGUAUUGCAUUCCAUAAUACGAACGGGGCUGCAUUCUUAAAGUGAGCGUUCUGUACCCACUUUCCAGCCAAGAUCAGAGAAUCAAGGCAAAACCACAAAAAAGACUCGGCUAAUUUGAAGAGUCAGUUAGAAUAAGAUUUUGGGCAAUGUGCUUGGCAAUCUGGCUGUCACAAUGUGUUGGUAGAGCAACAGAAACAGAGGGCCCAAUAACUUAUUCAUCCAAGCUCGCUAGCUUUGCAACAGGUUUAAGUAAGGCUCUAUAGUCAACCGCAACAUAAGAUAAUAAAACAAUGUGAAUAAUCUCUUGGACUUCAAAGAGAUAAAAAGCCCAGGAAUUGUAAUGAAAUAACUAGAAAUAACACUCUAGAAAUAGGAGCAGUCUAAUCUGAGUUAAGGUGAGCCUCGAAAGAAAAAACUGUUGAAUUACUUAACAAGAUUGCUAGGACAAGUUCAUUCAACAGAUGUCAAAGAAAACAUAACAGCAUUUGAGGAACUCUUGCAAGGCUGAGGAAGUGACUAAGUUGUCGACUUGUGAAGGAAAUAUCAGGCUUGGUGUAGUGCGGAAAAUUCAACUUUCCAACAGUCUCCUGUACAAAGAUGAUUCAGGAGCUGAUUUAAUUUAUCCACGCAACCUGAUAAUCUGACUGAAGAAUCCAAAGGAACAACAACUGGGAUGAUUUUGGCACGGUUAAAUUCCUCAAGAAGAUUGAGAACAUAACUCUGUUGGAGCUGAGGGACUUCAUCCAAGUAAAAGUAAAUGGAGAACAAGUCUACACCUGCUUGAUUUUGAGCUAUUCACCUCAGGGCCAGCAUUUAAGCAUCAUGAAUAGUAGCCAAAUUAUGUGAUUGACGGUGCGACAAGACGUUGUGGAGAGUUGUGAAAAACAUUUGCAUUUGGGGAUGAGUAAAACACUUAUUUUGGACCUCUUUACGGGGUGUA